AUGUCGCGCCCGGCCUCCGUAGCCGCCCGCCGGCUGGCCGGCUCGCCGCGCCGCCUUCGCCCGCAUCUCGGCUGCCCACACGCCAGCUCGCCGGCUCCGCCUAUGGCCUAUGCUGGCCGGCUUCGCCUUCGGCUGGCUCCGGGUCCCCACCGGGUCGCCUCCUACCCACCCUCGCGACCCGGCCCGCCGGCUGCUACUAACCCGGCUGCCUGCCAGCCACGUACAGAGAGAAAGAAAGGUCAGCCGGCCGUGGUUAAAAGAGAGUCAGACAAGUCAAGCCGACUGCUCCUCGCAAAAAAAAGAGAGAGAAAAGAAAGGGCCGGCUGGGUCAACCCAGUGCGCCGGCUGCGUUCGAGACAAAAAAUGGGGCCGACUGCCUAA
rnacentral:rRNA from 1 species